AGAGCGAACGGUGGAUGCCUUGGCUAGUAGAGGCGAUGAAAGACGUGCCAGGCUGCGAUAAGUCUCGGGGAGCCGUCAAGGGGCUUUGAUCCGGGAAUUUCUGAAUGGGGCAACCCAAUACAUAGCGAUAUGUGUUACCAUUAAUGGAGCCAACGCGGGGAACUGAAACAUCUAAGUACCCGCAGGAAGAGAAAUCAAUAGAGAUUACGCUAGUAGCGGCGAGCGAACGCGUAAGAGGGCAAACCACUAGUUUACUAGUGGGGUUGUAGGACCGCAACAUAGACUAGGAUCUGAUAAUAGAACAAUCUGGAAAGGUUAGGCAUAGAGGGUGAUACUCCCGUAUAUGAAAUCACAUCCUUACUUAGCGGUAUCCUGAGUAGGACGGGACACGUGAAAUCCUGUCUGAAGCCGGGUCGACCACGAUCCAACCCUAAAUACUACUACUAGACCGAUAGCGUACAAGUACCGUGAGGGAAAGGUGAAAAGAACGGCGGUGAGCCGAGUGAAAUAGAACCUGAAACCGUUUGCUUACAAUCAUUCAGAGCACUAUGCUAUGCUCUUUAAAAUUAAUCCAGCUUGGCUUUUUAGCCCUUUUUUAUGAAACUGCGACUGCGGCAGCCGGAUCCGGCUAGCCUUGCCUUGUUUCAUAAAAAAUCAUCUAAAAAUCCUGCGCAUUUGAAAUUCUAAAUUUUAAAUCUAAUAAAAUUCAUCAUAGAUAACACAAAUAGAAUUUUAUAGUCUAAAUUUAGAGAUAACGAUUAGCGAUUAGUUUUAAUGAGUAUAGCAGUGUGAUGGACUGCCUUUUGCAUAAUGAGCCUGCGAGUUGUGGUGUCUGGCGAGGUUAAGGAAACCCGGAGCCGUAGCGAAAGCGAGUCUUAAUAGGGCGAUUAGUCAGAUGCUGCAGACCCGAAACGAUGUGAUCUAUCCAUGAGCAGGUUGAAGCCGGUGUAAGAGCCGGUGGAGGACCCAACCGACGGCCGUUGAAAAGGCUCCGGAUGACUUGUGGAUAGGGGUGAAAGGCCAAUCAAACAUCGUGAUAGCUGGUUCUCUCCGAAAUAUAUUGAGGUAUAGCGUCGUGUAGUAGUUAUAAGGGGUAGAGCACUGAAUGGGCUAGGGCAUACACCAAUGUACCAAACCCUAUCAAACUCCGAAUACUUAUAGCGUAACCACGGCAGUCAGGCGGCGAGUGAUAAAAUCCGUCGUCAAGAGGGAAACAACCCGGACUAACAGCUAAGGUCCCCAAAUCUCAUUUAAGUGGAAAACGAUGUGAAGUUACUGAAACAACCAGGAGGUUGGCUUAGAAGCAGCCAUCCUUUAAAGAUAGCGUAAUAGCUCACUGGUCUAGUGAUUUUGCGCGGAAAAUAUAACGGGGCUAAAAUGAGUACCGAAGCUUUAGACUUGCACUUAAUCAUUUAUACUUGGCUUGGCUUUUGAGCGUCUUUAAAUGAGCUCGUAAAAAUAAAUGCUCACGAACUAUAUGUUCGCUCCGCUUUAUUUUUACGUCGCAACAUUUAAAUCCAUCUCAAAAAUCCUACGCCAUCUUGAGUUCAAAUUUGAACUAAACGUCUUAAUCUAAAUUUAGAAAUUUCAAAUUUCUUAGAAUUUUAAAAUUUAGCAACAAAAGCAAAAAAAUAAGCCGCAAGAAAAGUAUAAAUCAUUAAGUGCAAGUGGUAGGAGAGCGUUCCAAUCAGCGUCGAAGCCGUACCGGUAAGGAGCGGUGGAGCGGUUGGAAGUGAGCAUGCAGGCAUGAGUAGCGAUAAAAUACGUGAGAAUCGUAUUCGCCGUAAACCCAAGGUUUCCUACGCGAUGCUCGUCAUCGUAGGGUUAGUCGGGUCCUAAGCAAAGUCCGAAAGGGGUAUGCGAUGGAAAAUCGGUUAAUAUUCCGAUACCGAUAUCAGUGUGCGACGGAAGGACGCUUAAAGUUAGUGGAGCUAGCGGAUGGAAGUGCUAGUCUAAGGAAGUAGGUUGAGUUAUAGGCAAAUCCGUAACUCUUUAUCCGAGAUCUGAAAGGCUUCUGACGCUCUUCGGAGUAGAUGAAGAAUCCAUGAUACUAUCGAGCCGAGAAAAGUUUCUAAGUUUAGCUGAUAUCGCCCGUACCGUAAACCGACACAGGUGGGUGGGAUGAGUAUUCUAAGGCGCGUGGAAGAACUCUCUUUAAGGAACUCUGCAAAAUAGCACCGUAUCUUCGGUAUAAGGUGUGCCUAGCUUCGUUAAGAAUUUACUUCGUAAGCGAAGAAGGUUACAACAAAGAGUCCCUCCCGACUGUUUACCAUAAACACAGCACUCUGCUAACUCGUAAGAGGAUGUAUAGGGUGUGACGCCUGCCCGGUGCUCGAAGGUUAAUUGAUGAUGUUAGCUUACGCAAAGCAUCUGAUCGAAGCCCGAGUAAACGGCGGCCGUAACUAUAACGGUCCUAAGGUAGCGAAAUUCCUUGUCGGUUAAAUACCGACCUGCAUGAAUGGCGUAACGAGAUGGGAGCUGUCUCAAAGAGGGAUCCAGUGAAAUUGUAGUGGAGGUGAAAAUUCCUCCUACCCGCGGCAAGACGGAGAGACCCCGUGGACCUUUACUAUAGCUUGACACUGCUACUUGGAUAAAGAUGCGCAGGAUAGGUGGGAGGCUUCGAUUCGUAGAUCUCGGUUUACGAUGAGCCAUUGUUGAGAUACCACUCUUCUUUAUUCGGGUAGCUAACUAGCCUAAGUUAUCCUUAGGUAGGACAAUGUCUGGUGGGUAGUUUGACUGGGGCGGUCGCCUCCCAAAAUGUAACGGAGGCUUACAAAGGUUGGCUCAAAGCGGUUGGAAAUCGCUUGCAGAGUAUAAAGGCAAAAGCCAGCUUAACUGCGAGACAUACACGUCGAGCAGAGACGAAAGUCGGUCUUAGUGAUCCGGUGGUUCUGUGUGGAAGGGCCAUCGCUCAAAGGAUAAAAGGUACCCCGGGGAUAACAGGCUGAUCUCCCCCAAGAGCUCACAUCGACGGGGAGGUUUGGCACCUCGAUGUCGGCUCAUCGCAUCCUGGGGCU
rnacentral:rRNA from 1 species